GACACAGCCGGGGAAAGAAAGCAAACUUUAAACUAAGGGACAAGUUGAUGUUAAUGCCAAAUGUAAAGUUAGAAGAGGGGGCUGAAGAUGCACCUGUCCUCUUCUAAGACUCAUUAAAGGGUGUAGAAGCUGGAUAGUUUUACAUCCUCUCUAAGCAGGUGCUGUAUGUAUAAAAAGGCAGAAUUACAAAAUCAAUCUUCAUAAACUCCAGGCUUCCAAGAUAUAAGUCUACUAGCCAAUCAUCUUGGAACAGACCAGCAGAGGAGGAAACUGCUCUUAGCAAACACCAGAAUCAGAAUGUGAUUUCACUUCAUGAAGAAUCACAUAUUCUCUAUUCUUUCGACCACCACCAACCAGAUGCCUCAAGGAAAUGACUUUAUCUGAGUAAAACAUCAGUUGGCUAACCCUUGAUCUUAUCAUGAGGAAAAUUCCUCCCCUUUUGAAAUCUCAAACUUGGAG